rnacentral:lncRNA from 1 species
GCUUCCCCUCAGCCCCUUCAUGCUCUGGUGCAGGGUUGCAGAAGGGCAGUCCCUCUCAGCCAGCACGACACAGCCACGUGGAGAAGAGCAGUGGCCAAAGGCCGAGAUGGCUGGGGGAGGCCUUGGGGAUUCACCUCACUGACGUUUGGAAGCUUGAAGGAGAGACCCCCCUUCCGAACUCCCCAUCUGGGCCUGUCCUUGGGUGGAAGGACUCUGACCCCAAAAAACAAGGAGUUAAAUGCAGGCCCCAGGGAGAGAGUCAGCCAGUCCUGAGGAGCUGGAAACAAAUGACCCUCUCCCUUGCAAAUCAGGGGGCAGCUCUGGGGAGGGUGGGCAGUGGCGGGGGAGGACAGUAGCCCCAAUAUCUCAUUUGCCCUCUCAAUUUGGACACGCCAAUCCUCUGCACUCUUUGCUCUUGCUGCUUCCCCGUGGGGCUGGCGUUUACGGAGGCCCAUGGUACAGGACAUCACUUAUCCCGGAGCUGUCACCAGCAUGACCUCAGCCCAUCAGCAGGAAACCGCAGCGUUUUACUAUCUCUGUUGCACAGAUGAGGCUCGGUCACAUACCAGGAUGACAUCUUAAUCUGCUGGAUGGGGAGGUUCUGCGACUCGGUCAGCAUCACAAGUUGAGGCAGAGACGGUGUCAGGACCAGUUCCGACUCCCACCGGCAGCUUCGACAGCAUGCCUCACUGCGCCUCCAUUCAGCACACGUUCAUUCAGUCCUGCUCUGUGCCUGGCCCCAACCUGAGGCAAACAGAACUAGACCCAGGGACCCUGCCCUGUCUCUUUCCCCAGAGACAGCGCCUGGCAGGGCUAUUCCUGGGCUUCAAGACCCUCCUGGUCCCCCCCUGCCCCCCACGCAGGGCCAUCCCCUGGGCUCCGGUCCAGCUUUCUCUGUUCCCUUGGAGGGAGCGCCAGGAAUGGGAGGCGGCAGGCGGCCAGGGGCACAGGGCGGGCCGGGAGGAAGGGCCCCAGGUCUGGUUCAUUUCCUGGCAUCCCUGUUUGCCGUGUGCCCCUGGCUUCUGGUGGCUGUUUCCGGCCCGCCCACAGCCUCCCUGGCUGAGUGGGUAGCUGGCCUGGGACUGGAAUUCUCCCACUGUCCUCAGUUUCAGCUGUCUGUCAGCUGGGCCCUCCCCUCAGAGCCCAACAGGUCCAGAGGAGAAUCCUGCUCCCCCACCGGCUGCAUGACCUUGGGCAUGUCACUUUGCCAGUCUGGCCCUUCAUUUCUUCUUCUGGAAAGGGGAUAAUGGGACUGAUCUCACAGGCUUGUCAUGAAGAAUAAAGGACAUGGUAUACAUAAAGGGCCUGGCACAAUGAGACGCC